UACGGGAGGCAGCAGUGGGGAAUUUUGGACAAUGGGCGAAAGCCUGAUCCAGCCAUGCCGCGUGCAGGAUGAAGGCCUUCGGGUUGUAAACUGCUUUUGUACGGAACGAAAAGCCUCUUUCUAAUAAAGAGGGGUCAUGACGGUACCGUAAGAAUAAGCACCGGCUAACUACGUGCCAGCAGCCGCGGUAAUACGUAGGGUGCAAGCGUUAAUCGGAAUUACUGGGCGUAAAGGGCACGCAGGCGGUUAAUUAAGUUGGAUGUGAAAUCCCCGGGCUUAACCUGGGAAUGGCAUUCAAGACUGGUUAGCUAGAGUCUUGUAGAGGGGGUAGAAUUCCAUGUGUAGCGGUGAAAUGCGUAGAGAUGUGGAGGAAUACCGGUGGCGAAGGCGGCCCCUGGACAAAGACUGACGCUCAUGUGCGAAAGCGUGGGGAGCAAACAGGGAUUAGAUACC
rnacentral:rRNA from 1 species